rnacentral:tRNA from 2 species
CGGGAAGUAGCUCAGUUUGGUAGAGCACCUGGUUUGGGACCAGGGGGUCGCAGGUUCGACUCCUGUCUUCCCGA